AUGGAUACCUGUGGUAAUUCUAGAGCUAAUACAUGCUAAAAACCCCGACUCACGAAGGGGUGUAUUUAUUAGAUAAAAAACCAACGCCCUUCGGGGCUCCUUGGUGAAUCAUAAUAACUUAACGAAUCGCAUGGCCUUGCGCCGGCGAUGGUUCAUUCAAAUUUCUGCCCUAUCAACUUUCGAUGGUAGGAUAGUGGCCUACCAUGGUGGCAACGGGUAACGGGGAAUUAGGGUUCGAUUCCGGAGAGGGAGCCUGAGAAACGGCUACCACAUCCAAGGAAGGCAGCAGGCGCGCAAAUUACCCAAUCCCGAUACGGGGAGGUAGUGACAAUAAAUACUGAUACGGGGCUCUUUUGGGUCUCGUAAUUGGAAUGAGAACAAUUUAAAUCCCUUAACGAGGAACAAUUGGAGGGCAAGUCUGGUGCCAGCAGCCGCGGUAAUUCCAGCUCCAAUAGCGUAUAUUAAAGUUGUUGCAGUUAAAAAGCUCGUAGUUGAACCUUGGGUCUGGCUGGCCGGUCCGCCUCACCGCGAGUACUGGUCCGGCUGG
rnacentral:rRNA from 1 species